ensembl:lncRNA
GGACUACAGGCAUCCGCCACCACGCCCGCCCAGAGCCGGGUUCAAGCAUUUCUCAGAAAUUUCCAGCGCACGUUCCCCAUCUGAAGGCUCACACCUGCGGGAGCAGAACACACUCCACACGGGUGCCUCCAGCACACGGAACUUGCGCUCCCGGAAGCUUACGACAUGGUCAUUGUUGAAGUGUUCCCCUCGAAGUAGCUGGGCGUGGUGGCGCGCUCGUGGAGUCCCAGCUACUCGAGAGGCUGAGGUAGGAGCAUCGCUUGAACCCAGGAGGAGGGAGUUGCAGUGAGACGAGAUCGCGCCACUGCACUCCAGCCUGGAUAACAAAGCGAGACUCCGUCUCAAAAAAAAAAAAAAAAAAAAAAAUCCUUAAGGACAGCCCAGAGGCUGGCGACACCUUCACGGGCCCCUCCAUGGAUGCGCCUCUGAGGUCACCGCUCCGGAAGGUCCCAGACUGGCGUGGAAACCUAUUACUAAGUGGGGCGCGUGGACACCGGCAGGUCCCGCUCUAAAGGAGUCCCGCGGAUGCUUGGGCCUCAGUUCCUCUUUCCUGCCCAAGUAUUCCCCCCGCUCUGACGAAACAGGCAACUUCCAGACUGUGGCGUUAGCUCAGCGACUGCGCUGAGCCCCGGGAAAGAACCUGGUCCCGACGGCCAGCUGACCCAGGUUAGUUGCGGAGAUGCUGACUACCCCGCUUCGCUGGCUGCUGCGAGGUCACAUGAGGCCCUCGGUGUGACGUGAGGUCCUCGGGCGCAGCAGGGAGCGUGGCAGCCAACUCUUUCUGCGCGUGCGCGAGCGCGAGCAUCUGCUGUCGUUUAGGCAGAACGGUCGCAAAUCGCACCCUCAGUACUGGCCCGCUUUGCUCUUCUACCUUGCCCUCCUAGUCCGGAUCCAAGAUCCCAAGUAAUCGUCCUACCCCUGCACCGGGGCCGGGACCAGGCAGCCAAGAGCGGCGGAGACAGACUGCUGGGACCGCGACAUCUCCUCUCCUGUUCGCUGCCAUAUGCCCGCGUCGUGUUGAGCGGCCUGCGGACACUGACAGCCUGCCCGGUCCGCUGAGUGUUUGAUCCCCAUCCUCUCAACGCUCUGGAGUGGGCGGUGCAGCCAGUCUUCUUUCAUUCUUAUGAGGCAAGAGAGAGACCCUCUCAUAUUGUUUUAUACUCAGUACCUGUUUAAAAAACAAAACAAAACAAAACAAGGAAGUGAAACCAAAGACAGGCAGCCCGGCGCCAGGCCCCAAACCGGACCUGGACCUGCCUGGCCUAAACCUAGUAGUUAAAAAUCAACUCAUGACUUAAAAACCGAUGUUGUCCUUAGAUUCCCCGCGUCGUAUAAAAGAACAUUGUGGGCCAGGGGCGGUGGCUCACGCCUGUAAUCCCAGCACUUUGGGAGGCCAAGGCGAGCGGAUCACCUGAGGUCAGGAGUUCAAAACCAGCCUGACCAACAUGGAGAAACCCUGUCUUUACUAAAAAUACAAAAUUGGCCAGGCGUGGUGGCACAUGCCUAUAAUCCCAGCUACUAGGGAGGCUGAGGCAAGAGAAUCGCUUGAACCUGGGAGGCAGAGGUUUUGGUGAGCCGAGAUCAUGCCAUUGCACUUCACCCUGGGCAACAAGAGUGAAACUCCGUCUCAAAAAAAAAAAAAAAAAAAAAAGAACAUUGUGAAACUCCCUGCUCUGUUCUGUUUCUCUCUGACCACCGGUGCAUGCAGCCCCUGUCACAUACCCACUGCUUGCUCAAAUCAAUCACUACCUUUUCAUGUGAAAUCUUUAGUGUUGUGAGCCCUUAAAAGGGACAGAAAUUGUGCACUCAGGGAGCUCGGAUUUUAAGGCAGUAGCUUGCCGAUGCUCCCAGCUGAAUAAAGCCCUUCCUCCUAC